rnacentral:rRNA from 1 species
GAUGAACGCUGGCGGCGUGCUUAACACAUGCAAGUCGAACGAAGCACUUUGAUUUCUUCGGAUUGAAAGGUGACUGAGUGGCGGACGGGUGAGUAACGCGUGAGGAACCUGCCUUUCAGAGGGGGACAACAGUUGGAAACGACUGCUAAUACCGCAUGACGCAUUCGGGUCGCAUGGCCUGAAUGCCAAAGAUUUUAUCGCUGAAAGAUGGCCUCGCGUCUGAUUAGCUAGUUGGUGAGGUAACGGCCCACCAAGGCGACGAUCAGUAGCCGGUCUGAGAGGAUGAACGGCCACAUUGGGACUGAGAUACGGCCCAAACUCCUACGGGAGGCAGCAGUGGGGAAUAUUGCACAAUGGGGGAAACCCUGAUGCAGCGACGCCGCGUGAGCGAUGAAGUAUUUCGGUAUGUAAAGCUCUAUCAGCAGGGAAGAAAAUGACGGUACCUGACUAAGAAGCACCGG